UACGUAGGCAGCGAGCGUUGUUCGGAGUUACUGGGCGUAAAGCGUGCGUAGGCGGUGUCUUAAGUUUGUUGUGAAAUCUCCCGGCUUAACCGGGAGGGUGCGGCGAAUACUGAGAUGCUGGAGUGCCGGAGAGGUAAGCGGAAUUCCUGGUGUAGCGGUGAAAUGCGUAGAUAUCAGGAGGAACACCUGCGGUGUAGACGGCUUACUGGACGGUAACUGACGCUGAGGCACAAAAGCGUGGGUAGCAAACAGG
rnacentral:rRNA from 1 species